UCUUGUAGCAAUACAGGGAAAAGUUUAGCGGCGAACGGGUGCUUAACACGUGGGCAACCUGCCAAGAAGUGGGGGAUAGCUCGCCGAAAGGCGAAUUAAUACCGCAUGUGAUCAGAGUGGACAUCCACUCAAAAUUAAAGUCGGGGCAACCUGACGCUUCUUGAGGGGCCCGCGGCCUAUCAGCUAGUUGGUGAGGUAACGGCCCACCAAGGCUUUGACGGGUAGCUGGUCUGAGAGGACGACCAGCCACACUGGGACUGAGACACGGCCCAGACACCUACGGGUGGCAGCAGUCGAGAAUUUUUCUCAAUGGGGGAAACCCUGAAGGAGCGACGCCGCGUGGAGGAUGAAGGUCUUCGGAUUGUAAACUCCUGUCAUUGGGGAACAAUGCGUAGAUAUUAACUGUAUUUGCGUUGAUAGUACCCGAAGAGGAAGAGACGGCUAACUCUGUGCCAGCAGCCGCGGUAAUACAGAGGUCUCAAGCGUUGUUCGGAUUCAUUGGGCGUAAAGGGUGCGUAGGCGGCGCGGUAAGUCGGGUGUGAAAUCUCGGAGCUUAACUCCGAAACUGCAUUCGAUACUGCCGUGCUUGAGGACUGGAGAGGAGACUGGAAUUCUCGGUGUAGCA
rnacentral:rRNA from 1 species